rnacentral:misc_RNA from 1 species
GAUGAAGAACGUAGCGAAAUGCGAUACGUAAUGUGAAUUCCAGAAUUCAGUGAAUCAUCGAAUCUUUGAACGCAUAUUGCGCUCUUUGGUAUUCCGAAGAGCAUGCUUGUUUGAGUAUCAGUAAACACCUCAAAGCUUUUGGAUUUUUUAAUCGAAAAGCUUUGGACUUGAGCAAUCCCAACACCAAUCUUUUUGAGAUCGGUGGCGGGUUGCUUGAAAUGCAGGUGCAGCUGGACAUUCUCCUGAGCUAAAAGCAUAUUCAUUUAGUCCCGUCAAACGGAUUAUUACUUUUGCUGCAGCUAACAUAAAGGGAGUUUGACCGUAUUGGCUGACUGAUGCAGGAUUUCACAAGGGUCGGCAACGAUUCUUGUUAAACUCGAUCUCAAAUCAAGUAAGACUACCCGCUGAACUUAAGCAUAUCAAUAAGCGGAGGA